rnacentral:rRNA from 1 species
UACAGAGGUCCCGAGCGUUGUUCGGAAUCAUUGGGCGUAAAGAGCGUGUAGGCGGCUUGUUAAGUCUUGCGUGAAAUCUCGGGGCUCAACCCCGAGCGGUCGUGAGAAACUGGCAGGCUAGAGUGCGGGAGAGGAGAGUGGAAUUCCUGGUGUAGCGGUGAAAUGCGCAGAUAUCAGGAAGAACACCCGUGGCGAAGGCGGCUCUCUGGGACGUGACUGACGCGAGACGCGAAAGCGUGGGGAGCGAACAGG